AUUGCUUCUUGGCCUUUUGGCUAAGAUCAAAUGUAGUAUCUCCUCUUAUCAGCUGAAUAUCUGAUAUGUCCUCUAUCCAAGGACAAUAAAUUAAAGGGAUUUUUGGUUGGGGAUUAGGAGUGGGAGCUUGUUCUGUCACUACACAUCAACCUGCUAUUGCAUCUCCAAAAAUGGGCCACCCAUU
rnacentral:snRNA from 1 species